rnacentral:lncRNA from 1 species
AGAAACUAUGCUGUAGAGGUUCUGAAGUGGCGGCAGAUAAGCAUGGCCUUGCUGGAGAAGCCACCACGGAGAAGGGAAGGUGAACAAUGAAGCACCUGUGGGCUGCUACACUUGGACCUUGCUGAGCUUGCUAGAUGUCUGGCCUGAGCACCAGGCUGAUCCAGCCCACUCGAUGGGGCUCUGACAUGCUGCACCACAGUUGCCAGCCCAGAAUCCUGGCUAGGAUCCUCAUGGAAACUUAUCCAAGGCCCAGGACUCUGACACCUGCUGGAAUCCAGGCCUGAACCUUUCUUUUCCCUCUGGACUGACAGUGGAGUGGGGGAAACUACCCAUUUCUUUGAAGCUAAUCUUAUAUCUGAACAAAAAGAAACAACCCCUCCAAAUAAAACCAAACCUG